CCGUGCUGCCAGAGUGCAUGACAGAGCCCUCUUGGUCAUGUUCUCUCGCGGCUCUGGA
ensembl:miRNA